CUCCCUUUGUACUAAUCUGAUUUCCUCUUUUGACAGGGGUUUGAGGACUCCCUCAUUUUCCUCCAUACUUGCCAGUACACUCUGACAGGCUUACUGCAAGUGUCACAUCUGGAUUCCCUUGGAGCUCCACUGCUUGGAUCACAGCUCCCACGCAGUCAGGUGAAAACUGCUCAGUAACAUUCUCUCAUUGUUGUUUCCAGGUCUGCCGACAUCCUGGAGAGCGAGUCAGCAUCUAUGUUUUCUUUACCUGGACGGUAACGGAUGGUGAAGUGAAAAUCUGCGAGCUCUGACACCCAUCUACACCCAGUGGCGUUCAACUUUGCAGAGGUUCCUUCCUGGUUCUUACUACAUACUCGCUGAGGUCCUCUGCAGUCACCAAGUUAAUGAAGAUUCAUUGGAACAAGCGACAUUGAGUUUCUCCAGCAACACUUCAUCUGGGACAGCGGGAUCUGAAAGGAGCAGUAAUUGUGACUCCUGUGAGCUGGCUCAGUUUAUCAUUAAUUGUUAACAGUUCGGCCAUACCGCCAUCUUCGAACUCCUCUAGCUCAGCUCUCAGUAAAUAGUUACUAAUGAGGUUUAACAGGGACAAACGUGUCACAUGUGUUUCAUCCUCUCGCGUCAGCCGAAGGAAGACACAGAGUUUUAUCAGCUUUUCACAUGAUAGUGUGCAUAAUUUCUCACCAAUUUCCUCUUGAAGAUGUUUUAGCUCAUCCAUUUUAGCUGCUAUGUAGACAGGCCGUUGAGAGUGGUAUUUCACUUACU